CCCUGGCUGUUAGAGCCUAUGGAGAUCACCCUGUUCCUUUCACAUGCUGCCCUGGCUGCUGGGAGCUGUGGAACGUGAGCAAGCAGGUAGUGGGGAGGGGGCAGUCAAGUCUGCCUAGACCUACAUGCAGUUCCCAUAAUCGGUCCUUUUGAAAACUUCCCACUGGCCAUAUCGAACAAGCAUCUGUACCCACAAUAAGAGUGAGUUCCCUGCAUUUGCCAUCUUUUCUCAACUAACACCACCUAUAGAAGCUGACAAUGACCGUUGGGCUUUUCCAGUGGAUGCCGGAACCCAUUUCUUGCAGCCCUGGGGGGGGGGGGGGGAAGGCAGAAUAACUGGCAGCAGGAGGAACAGAGAGAGGAGGCAACUUGGCCAAGAUCAGGUAGCAAGUGAGGAAAAGGCCCCUCUCCUUUGGGGUCUGGGUUCGUUGCCGACUGGGCCUGCACUGAAGACAGCCAAGUGAGGACAGCCCAUCAUCCUGGAGCUGCUGCCGCAAAUCCAAAUUAACCAGAGGAAGGCAGCAGGCAGCACCAGGGAGGAUGAGCACCUAAGGGCCGGCCAUGCACCCUCCAUGUCCAGAAGAACUCAGACAUCACACCAUGAGAAGCCCAAACCACGUGGAGAAGCCAGGUCGAGGUACUCCAUUUGCCAGGGCCAGCCGAGUUCCCAGCUCAUAGCAUCAACUGCGAGCCCUGAGAGGGUGCCAUCUUGGACAUCCAGCCGCAUGGAGCCUGCAGGUGACUCCAGCUCUAACCACUACCUGAUGCAACCACUUGAGAAAUCCCAAGAAAGAAUCUCCCAGAUGAGCCCAGUCAGCCCGUGGAACUGUAAGAAAUAACAACACAUUCUUAUUUUAUGCUUCUAAAAAUAUAUUUGUAAAUAAAUCUUACAGAACUGUCAUUUUACUAGAGCUCAGAGAUUCCAUGUGAUGUAUCCAAGGUCGCACAAUGAGGCAGAGCCCGGUGCGUUUGACUGUGGGCACCCUAUCGCCACCACCAGAGAAGAUAAAGAGAAGUGAGCUAUCCAGGGCAGGAGUGAAGAGGGAGAGAGGAAAAGAGUUGGAUUUUAUAGAAAAUGUCUCAAGUUAAUUCUGUUUAGGAAAAAAAUUAUUUCUUGAAUGUG